rnacentral:rRNA from 1 species
UACGUAGGGUGCAAGCGUUAAUCGGAAUUACUGGGCGUAAAGCGUGCGUAGGCGGUUGCGCAAGACAGGUGUGAAAUCCCAGGGCUUAACCUUGGAAUUGCACUUGUGACUGUGCGGCUCGAGUGCGGCAGAGGGGGAUGGAAUUCCGCGUGUAGCAGUGAAAUGCGUAGAUAUGCGGAGGAACACCGAUGGCGAAGGCAGUCCCCUGGGCCUGCACUGACGCUCAUGCACGAAAGCGUGGGGAGCAAACAGG